AACGCACCUUGCGCUCUUUGGUAUUCCGAAGAGCAUGCCUGUUUGAGUGUCAUAAAACUCUCAACUCCUAAUGGUUUUUUCGGAAACUGUUAGUUGAUGUUGGAUGUGAAUGUUGCUGGCUUUCGAGUCGGCUCGUUCGAAAUGAAUUAGCUGGAUCCCUCUUUAACUUGGUUCCACUCGGCGUGAUAAGUAUCUUCGUCGAGGACAGUUGACUUCGGUUGGCUGGCCAGGAUAGAUUGGUUGAACUGCUUCUAAUCCUUUUCGUCUCUUUAUUGAGAAGAAAAACUUUUAUGCUCUGGCCUCAAAUCAGGUAGGAUUACCCGCUGAACUUAA
rnacentral:misc_RNA from 1 species